GACUUAUGGAUACUAGGAGGACUCCCGAUUAAAGGUAGAUUUUAUGAAGAAAGCAUUCCUUGCCACCAAGACUUAAUAGGAUCACCUGAUGUAUGUCCAAGAAGUUGUGAGCAUUUAUUUGCAGCCUAUUACCGCAUUGUUUCUCAACGCAUGGAUCACUCUCAAAUCACUGUAAGUGAAUGGAUCUCUUUUUGGGUUACACGAUCUGAGGUAAAGUAUUCGAAACCGCCUCCUCGAAAGCCUAAAAAGACUUCUCGCCCUCGCUCAACUCAUAAUCCAGAUGGAAUUCCCAUCAGACGUCCUGACUGGUCUAAAGCUGAACUCAAAGUGUUCCUUGACUUAAGCGUCACUGAUGAUCAUAGGGACAAAACCUAUCUAGCGGCAUUUCUCUCUUGUUGGCUAUGUGUGUUUGUGUUCCCUGAUAAGCAACUUUCCCUUCGUCCGGAGGUUUUUAAGGUUGCUAGCCUCAUGGCGGAAGGCUACACAUUUAGCCUUGUCGUCCCUGUUUUAGCUAAUAUUUAUAGUGGCCUACGCCAAGUUCAUGAUUCUACUUCAUCACUUGGUUAUUCAAAUGCCUGUUUUCCUCUUCAC
rnacentral:lncRNA from 1 species